AUAUUGCAUUGCAGGUCUUCCCGUGUAAAACAUUGGAGUUCCUGUGGGAAUAGGUCCUGCGGGCAUAGCUCCUGCGGGGAGAAGAAAAGUUCCUGCGGACAUAGGUCCUGCGGGAAAAACAAUUCCUGUGGGCAUAGGUACUGCGGGGAAAAACGUUCCUGCGGGCAUAGGUCCUGCGGGAAGAAAAGUUCCUGGGUGAAAAGUUUCUGCAAGAAGAAAAUUUCCUGCGAGAAGACAAGUUCCUGCUGACAUAGGUCCUGCGGGAAGAAAAGUUCCUGCGGGAA